rnacentral:lncRNA from 1 species
CUUCACUAGAUGGAAGCAUCAUGUAUUAGGGUCCUUUUUUUUAUUUAUGUAUGAGCUUAGUAUGUUUUUACCUUUUCACUUUACGGUCAUGAGAUAGAUCAAUCUUUAGGCGCAAAACGAUGUUUGGAAGUUAUUGACUUGUGGCAAUCUUCUUUUGGUAACAGAUUUCUUUUACCUUUUUUUUUUGCUUGAUGUGAAAAAUCAUUUCAAUUCUUCAUCUUUUAUCAAAUUAACCAAAAUUGUGAUCCUCCUCUUGAAUGAUUUGUAUAACAAAAUGUCUUACUGUAUAUUCACACGUAUAUAGUAAGACCAUAAUGCUAGCAUAAAAGUUCCUCUUUAAAAUAUCUCCAUGUUCAAUACUUUGUGGAAAAUUUGUAGUUUUCUUUUAAUGGUUGUAGUUAUCACUGAUAACUUUUCAUCCUCUCUAAAUGAGUUCUACACCAAUUAGAACCAUUGAAUGUUAUAAAUGAUAAAGGUCAAUUGUAUCUUAAUCUUUAAAUUUACAUUGGAAUUUAGUUUAUAGUAAUAUACUUUAAUAUCUAUAGUGGACCUUCCAUUUUUAGAGAGACCUCAUCCCUCUAUAUCUCAAGUUGGGUCCAUUUUAUUGCACACACGUAAAAUUCAGCCAAUAUUGGACAAUUUGAUCUUGUGAUGCUUAGUUUUUGGGUCAUGGACUAUUGUUUCAUAAAUUUUCUCCAUUCAGAUUUAUUUUAGAAAGACUUGCAACUUCAGCCUUUGGUUUUGGUAAUCUUUGUUCCAAAGUGUACUGAAGUUUGUGAAAGAAAAAGGAAAAUAAUGUUAAUCCGAUGGCCUACGUAUGUUUUCAAUUUUAGUAGAUAAGAUAUAAUUGAUGUGAAUAAGAUAUUGGUAUAUCACAUAAUUUAAAAAGAAAAGAAUGUAUACAUUGACAAUGUAUGAGUUUUUUAUACUUUUAUUGUAUCAUUUAUUAUUUAUUUUUAAUCAUCAUUGACCCUUCAAAAAAAGAUUGAAAUGAAGGAUAAAUAAUAUAAAUAUUUGUACUGUCAAUGUACAAAUAUUACACUAUAAUUUAAAUACAAUAACAACCAAACUUUUAUAUGUUUAUGUGAGGUUAACUACAUGGAUUGAAUGACGAUAUGAUGCUCUAUCAUAAAUCAUAUCAUUGACAAAACAUUGAUCCCUAAGUUUUCCCACACAAUAUUAUAUACACUUGUGUCUUGGCACACAAUAUACCUGACAAAUUUACAUUAUACAUGCACCUUGACUGAAAUAUUACAAUCUUGGUGCACCUUUUAAAUUACUAACCACUUUAGUGUAUUUUUGGAAAAAUGGUGAACACUAAUGUUGAGUUUCUUUUUUUUUCUAAAACCCUGAGUUACUUACAUUAAAGAUUUUAAUUUUUUUAUAUAAAGUGAAGAAACUCUCGGGGCCUGGUGGACGAGUUUCGUGUUCCCCAAGCUAUUUUCUAAUAUGUUACUUUUAGGUGUAUAAUUCGAGAGUACAUUUAUUAUCUCACUUUUUGUACCACUCUAUGUACUAUCACCUUUAAUAGUUGAAAAAAUCAUUUAAGUUAAAAAUAUAAUUAUUUAAAUAUUAUUCCGACUAAUCAUAUCUCCUAGUAUAUGGAGUGAGACAAAAAAAAUGAAACAACAUAUAUGGACCCCAGAACAAAGAAAAUAUAGAUGGUGGUGAAAGAAAGAAAAAAUCUAAGCGGAGCGAAGAACACAAGAAGUCUAAAGGAAAAGAUGGAGGCGAAAAGAUUGUGUCGAAAGACAAGCAAAGCAAGUCAACAUCCAAGAAAAAAAAUAAGGGCUCAAAAUUUGCAAUUCCAGAUGAAGGGUUGUGAUGUAGAUGGUUAAAAUAGAAACCAUUUGAUGUAUACUUAUCAAGACCAAUAUGGAGAUGCAUGGUGAGGAAGGUAGCAACUAUGCAUUCAGGGGGGGAUAUGUUUGGUAGUUAGAUCAUCUUGGAGGUGACUUUUCUUAGCUGAGUUUGUGUAAAUUGAUUCAGUUUUGUUGGUUAUUUAUGCAUAAGAUAUAGGAUGAGCAUGAACGCAACAUAAAGGUUACUACUGGAUUUAAAUCCUGGAAAUAGUCUUUUCGAUUUCAAGGACAAAGUUGUAUACAUCUGACUCUCCGUGCUUCACUAGAUGGAAGCAUCAUGUAUUAGGGUCCUUUUUUUUAUUUAUGUAUGAGCUUAGUAUGUUUUUACCUUUUCACUUUACGGUCAUGAGAUAGAUCAAUCUUUAGGCGCAAAACGAUGUUUGGAAGUUAUUGACUUGUGGCAAUCUUCUUUUGGUAACAGAUUUCUUUUACCUUUUUUUUUUGCUUGAUGUGAAAAAUCAUUUCAAUUCUUCAUCUUUUAUCAAAUUAACCAAAAUUGUGAUCC